GCGAAGGCGGCUGUCUGGUCUGUAACUGACGCUGAGGCUCGAAAGUAUGGGUAGCAAACAGGAUUAGAUACCUGGUAGUCCAUACCGUAAACGAUGAAUGCUAAGUGUUGGAGGGUUCCGCCUUUCAGUGCUGCAGCUAACGCAUUAAGCAUUCCGCUGGGGAGUACGGCCGCAAGGCUGAAACUCAAAGGAAUUGACGGGGGCCCGCACAGCGGUGGAGCAUGUGGUUUAAUUCGAAGCUACGCGAAGAACCUUACCAGGUCUUGACAUACUAUGCAAAUCUAAGAGAUUAGACGUUCCCUUCGGGGACAUGGAUACAGGUGGUGCAUGGUUGUCGUCAGCUCGUGUCGUGAGAUGUUGGGUUAAGUCCCGCAACGAGCGCAACCCUUAUUAUCAGUUGCCAGCAUUAAGUUGGGCACUCUGGUGAGACUGCCGGUGACAAACCGGAGGAAGGUGGGGAUGACGUCAAAUCAUCAUGCCCCUUAUGACCUGGGCUACACACGUGCUACAAUGGAUGGUACAACGAGUUGCGAACUCGCGAGAGUAAGCUAAUCUCUUAAAGCCAUUCUCAGUUCGGAUUGUAGGCUGCAACUCGCCUACAUGAAGUCGGAAUCGCUAGUAAUCGCGGAUCAGCAUGCCGCGGUGAAUACGUUCCCGGGCCUUGUACACACCGCCCGUCACACCAUGAGAGUUUGUAACACCCAAAGUCGGUGGGGUAACCUUUAGGAACCAGCCGCCUAAGGUGGGACAGAUGAUUAGGGUGAAGUCGUAACAAGGUAACCA
rnacentral:rRNA from 1 species